CCUCAUCUCGCUCCUGUCAACGAACCAACUUAAUAUUGCGAGCAAUGUCAACGACCUCCUCAAAAGUAGCACCAGACACCCUCUCCCUAGUCAUGAGAAUUCGAAGCUAAUAUGUGAGGCUAUCAACGAACCUCCUAAUCCUCUCUUUAUCUAUAGGAACCAACCAAACAACAUGACGAUCUAACUCCAAGAACCUCAUUUAAUACUGCAUCAAAGUUAUAUCUACCUGACGCAACUGCAAGCCUGUGGAACAUACUUCCCUGAAAAGAGAGCGGAGAACUAUUGCCAGGUAAGGGGUGAUGCACCAACAGGCCUACGCCUCUCAUAAGCCUCCCACCAAGUGAAGGCAGCUCUAGAAAGCUGAAAAGUAGUAAAUGCGACCCUGCUGGUCUCAAGAAUACCCGUUAUACGAAGCAUUUUCUGACACUUGUCAAAGAAACCCUAGCAUCCUCG
rnacentral:lncRNA from 1 species